rnacentral:rRNA from 1 species
AGUAGGGAAUCUUCCACAAUGGACGCAAGUCUGAUGGAGCAACGCCGCGUGAGUGAAGAAGGUUUUCGGAUCGUAAAGCUCUGUUGUUGGUGAAGAAGGACAAGGGUAGUAACUGAUUCUUGUUUGACGGUAAUCAACCAGAAAGUCACGGCUAACUACGUG